rnacentral:rRNA from 1 species
GAGUUUGAUUAUGGCUCAGAGUGAACGCUGGCGGCGUGCCUAAUACAUGCAAGUCGAACGGAGAUGUGAGGGCUUGCUCUUAUAUCUUAGUGGCGCACGGGUGAGUAAUGUAUAGCUAAUCUGCCCUACACUAGAGGACAACAGUUGGAAACGACUGCUAAUACUCUAUACUCCUUCUUUACAUAAGUUAAGUCGGGAAAGUUUUUCGGUGUAGGAUGAGGCUAUAUCGUAUCAGCUAGUUGGUGAGGUAAUGGCUCACCAAGGCUAUGACGCGUAACUGGUCUGAGAGGAUGAUCAGUCACACUGGAACUGAGACACGGUCCAGACUCCUACGGGAGGCAGCAGUAGGGAAUAUUGCUCAAUGGGGGAAACCCUGGAGCAGCAACGCNGCGUGGAGGAUGACACUUUUCGGAGCGUAAACUCCUUUUCUUGGGAAAGAAUAUGACGUACCCAGAAGC